UACGUAAACUGUUUAUUAAGUCAGAUGUGAAAGCCCCGGGCUUAACCUGGGAACUGCAUUUGAUACUGGUAAACUAGAGUAUGGUAGAGGGGGUAGAAUUCCUAGUGUAGCGGUGAAAUGCGUAGAUAUUAGGAGGAAUACCAGUGGCGAAGGCGGCCCCCUGGACCAAUACUGACGCUGAGGUACGAAAGCGUGGGUAGCGAACA
rnacentral:rRNA from 1 species